GAUGAACGCUGGCGGCGUGCCUAAUACAUGCAAGUCGAGCGAACGGACGAGAAGCUUGCUUUUCUGAUGUUAGCGGCGGACGGGUGAGUAACACGUGGAUAACCUACCUAUAAGACUGGGAUAACUUCGGGAAACCGGAGCUAAUACCGGAUAAUAUUUUGAACCGCAUGGUUCAAAAGUGAAAGACGGUCUUGCUGUCACUUAUAGAUGGAUCCGCGCUGCAUUAGCUAGUUGGUAAGGUAACGGCUUACCAAGGCAACGAUGCAUAGCCGACCUGAGAGGGUGAUCGGCCACACUGGAACUGAGACGCGGUCCAGACUCCUACGGGAGGCAGCAGUAGGGAAUCUUACGCAAUGGGCGAAAGCCUGACGGAGCAACGCCGCGUGAGUGAUGAAGGUCUUCGGAUAUUAAAACUCUGUUAUUAGGGAAGAACAUAUGUGUAAGUAACUGUGCACAUCUUGACGGUACCUAAUCAGAAAGCCACGGCUAACUACGUG
rnacentral:rRNA from 1 species